rnacentral:rRNA from 1 species
CUAACGCGUUAAGUCGACCGCCUGGGGAGUACGGCCGCAAGGUUAAAACUCAAAUGAAUUGACGGGGGCCCGCACAAGCGGUGGAGCAUGUGGUUUAAUUCGAUGCAACGCGAAGAACCUUACCUGGUCUUGACAUCCACGGAAGUUUUCAGAGAUGAGAAUGUGCCUUCGGGAACCGUGAGACAGGUGCUGCAUGGCUGUCGUCAGCUCGUGUUGUGAAAUGUUGGGUUAAGUCCCGCAACGAGCGCAACCCUUAUCCUUUGUUGCCAGCGGUCCGGCCGGGAACUCAAAGGAGACUGCCAGUGAUAAACUGGAGGAAGGUGGGGAUGACGUCAAGUCAUCAUGGCCCUUACGACCAGGGCUACACACGUGCUACAAUGGCGCAUACAAAGAGAAGCGACCUCGCGAGAGCAAGCGGACCUCAUAAAGUGCGUCGUAGUCCGGAUUGGAGUCUGCAACUCGACUCCAUGAAGUCGGAAUCGCUAGUAAUCGUGGAUCAGAAUGCCACGGUGAAUACGUUCCCGGGCCUUGCACUCACCGCCCGUC